rnacentral:rRNA from 1 species
UACGGGGGGGGCAAGCGUUGUUCGGAAUUACUGGGCGUAAAGGGCUCGUAGGCGGCCAACUAAGUCAGACGUGAAAUCCCCAGGCUCAACCUGGGAACUGCGUCUGAUACUGGAUGGCUUGAAUCCGGGAGAGGGAUGCAGAAUUCCUGGUGUAGCGGUGAAAUGCGCAGAUAUCAGGAAGAACACCUAUGGCGAAGGCAGCACUCUGGGACGGUACUGACGCUGAGGCGCGAAAGCGUGGGAGCGAACAGG